rnacentral:rRNA from 1 species
GAUGAACGCUGGCGGCGUGCCUAAUACAUGCAAGUCGAGCGAACGGACGAGAAGCUUGCUUCUCUGAUGUUAGCGGCGGACGGGUGAGUAACACGUGGAUAACCUACCUAUAAGACUGGGAUAACUUCGGGAAACCGGAGCUAAUACCGGAUAAUAUUUUGAACCGCAUGGUUCAAAAGUGAAAGACGGUCUUGCUGUCACUUAUAGAUGGAUCCGCGCUGCAUUAGCUAGUUGGUAAGGUAACGGCUUACCAAGGCAACGAUGCAUAGCCGACCUGAGAGGGAGAGCGGACAGCUGGUGAGAGAGCAGGGGCACGCACACCGCGGGGGAGCAGCGGCAGGGAAUCUUACGCGAGGGACAAGAGCCUGACAGUGUAACACGGGGGGAGUGAUGAUAGUGUUAGGACCGGAAAAUGCUGUUGUCAGGAAAGAAGAAAUGCGAAAGUAACUGUGCAGAUCUUGACGGUACCGAAACAAAAAGCCACGGCUAACUCCGUG